rnacentral:lncRNA from 7 species
CAAUACAGCAUCUAUCAGAAGAAACAAUAAGUUGACAUUUGAAGAUAAACGGAUGAGCAAGGAUUUUAGCUUUCAAUGGCUGUUCACAGAUUGAUAGACUGGCUCAAGCAAUGCAAGUACUAUUGUCAACAAAGCUAAUUAGCCACUUCCAAGAUUAGAGUAUUUAACAUCCAGCCACUGCCUGAGAUAACAUCAUUUGCAGUGUGGAGGGAAAAAAAAAAGUCAUGUAUGGUGGCUUGGGUACAAGAAGACAUGGCCAGAAAAGCUAAGAUCUUGGAGAUGAGGUUUGAAAGCUUGUGUGUUGAAAGAAGAGCAAAGGAAGAAGUAUUUCAUUUCCUUGGUCAAAAAAAAGGACUCCUAAGCCACUGAGAUGAUCGCAUACCACUUCUAUGAAAAUGGCCAUAUCAGAAGAGGCAGAACUGCAAUUUGUAUUUCCCCAGACCUCCUUCCUUCUCCCAAAGUACAUCACCCAAUAUCCAUAAUUAAAGAUAGCACUCUUGUCACACCAUCAGUGCAGUCUGUAGAAAAAAAGACUGCAUGGAAAAUAGGUAUAUGCAAAGAUAAUGGAAAAAAAGGAAUCUUCAGACUUCAGUUUAAAAGUGAAUUCACCCUAAUGCAUGCAAACACCCUACCAACAUAAAAACAUUCACAGACCCACUUAAAUGACUGAGCACUUUUUUUUUUAGUCUAUCUAUAUUUAACCAGUGAAACUCCUUGUAACAUGCAGAAGAAUUAGUAAAGCACAUAGAGAACAGAUAUUCUUCCAGGAAACUAUUAGGACUAAACAGUCAUUAAACCAUCUCUUCAACGAGGCCAACCAGUUGAAAACUGACAUCAGGAUACCUCCAUUAAUAUCUUCAGCAUGAUUUACUCAAUUCAUAUCUGUUAGCUACAACCUCAUAUCAUCUUGAAAAAUACUCAAUACAGUAAGAUCCUGAUGUUGACUAGGAAAAAAAUCAGACAUUUAAAUAGAAAAACAGUACCUGCAGGUGAAUUAUAU